CCCCGCCGCCCCCCUCGGGCCUCCCGGCCCCCGCCUCCUCCCCUUCGCCCCCACCCAACGGCUGCUGCUUCGGGCUUCGCGGCUCAAAAACAACAGCGGAGGCGCCGCCAGCUCUGCGCUCCGCCACUGCCCAGGCCGGCGGGCGGCACUGGGACCCGCCGCCCUCGGUCCCUCGCGAGGCCGCGGAGGCCAGCACGCCUCGCAAGGGGGGACAGCGCGGGGGCGGCCGUCCAAACACCAGGCGUCCUCGGCUGGUUGUCCCAGGGCGCCCGCACCUCUCCGCCCGCGCGCUCCUGCCGCCGCACCCCCCAGCCCCCAAACUCCGAGUCGCUGCGGCGGAGGGGCCGGGCUAAGCGCAGGCAGGGUGGCCCCUGCCCAGGAACCGGACGGUCCGAGUGCGGAUUUCUCAUCUGAGUAUCUGGGAAUCGAGAAUGAAUUGGAAGGAAACCGAGGCGCUGCCCUGGCCGGGUUGCUCCCCUGCACCCUUCUGGAGCACUGAGGUCCUGCCCGGCAACAGGACUUGGAGCUGCCGCAGAGUCAGCCUGAGCCUGAGGCAGGGGUCGCGCCCGCGAUGUGGGGUCUCUCCGCCGCCCCGCGAGGCUCCUGGCCGUGCCCUCCCUGCCCUUUGUUGUGUAAUGAGACCUGUGGCGGCUUCACUGAGACCCACACGUGGAACUCCGCGCCUCCGCGUUAAAGGAGGUGAAACGCAGCAGCCCUGAGAAAUCCCAGACCCCGGUGUCCUAGCAGAGGCGCCCCAGAUGGGGAAGGGCGUGCGGCCGGCGCUACCCCAGAGGGAAAGCCCAGCGGAGCGGGGCUGGGCGGGAGCCGGCGGCGGCGAUGCGCUGGGCCUUCUGCCUUGGAUCCUCCGCAGUCGGCACCACUUCCUUGCUCAGAUUUGAACCCAGAUACGGCUCCCAUGGCUCCAGGGUGCCCAGUCUUGCAGCCAGCUCGCCGCCCGAACCCUGGAUGGAAGAAGCGCUCACUGGCCGCUACCUCUGCUGUUUCUGGCACCAGGUGAGUGUUGCCCAGGGAAGGGCCAUGAGCAAUGGCAUAGCCGCAUUCCCUGCCAUCCUUCUGAGGGUCUAUCGACCCCUUUACCCACCCUCCCCACACCCUGACCAUCUUUCAACAGGGGCUAGGGCACAGAACGGCUCAAUUUACAGGCCCAGCUCUGGAGAUCUUGAUCAGCAUAGCAGACUAGGGCACUGCUGCAGCUCUGGACGGCCAAGGCCGGUUCUGAACCUGCUCACCCGAGUGGGCGGGAGGUGCUGGAGCCCAAGAACACAGGCGCUGUCCUGCCUACACCCUACCAAGGGCAGACUCCCGAUGGUAGGCCCAACCUGGCUGGAGCUGCUGGCCAGAAAGGACUCAAGGUCACUCCCGCAUCUCUGCACCCAGCUCCCCCUUGCUCCUGCCUGAAGCCUCCGCAGGUUUGGGCGGAGGCCUGGGGAAGUUACUAUAGUGCCUGCAAAGCACUCCCACCUGCAGAGAGGGUCCCUUCCCCACCCUUACCCUGCAGCCCAGCAAAGGCCUCCUUUGCCUGUGGCCUGGAGGUAGCCAACAGAUGCCAAGGUUGUGUAGUCCUGGCCUUCUUGUAGGGGUGCCCCAGUUCUCUCCGGUCCUUUCCAUGCCUCCUCUUCCAGCUCAGGAGGUGAUUCUCAGAACCCUGACCAGGCUAGGACAGGACCGCCAUCCCUGGCACUGUUGCCAGCACCUAGGGAAGAAGGGCAGGAGGUAUGGGAGCAAGCUGGUCUGUGCCAUCUGGCCCCUGCCCUCCUCCAGGCUGUUGGGUAGGGAUGAGGUCACGGAUCUGCCUGCAGAGGGGUAGCUGCCGGUCAAGCCUGGCCAGGGAGAAGCUGGGCUGCCUACCCGCAAGGCACUGAUGCAGCCCUGGCUCCGGUGGGUCAGUGUCUCCCCAGCCUGCUCGGGAAGCCCAGGCAGGCUGUCCCCAAGGCCAGGGCCCUGGCCGAGGUUGCAUCCUGGCCUGGCCAGGCCCUGCCCCCGCGUGGCCAGACUUAGAAGCGGAGUGCAGGUCAGGAUUGAGGAGUCCCAUGAGGAAAAAGAGUGAAGCAGGGAAGAUGACAUGCAGGUGCUCCCUGGGGCCCAGUUCUGUGUUCCUGCCUGGCAAGGGCUUUGGGGGGCUUGGGGAACAGGUAGGGCAAGUGGAGGCCCAGUGGGGAAAAGGUUGGUAUUAAAACUUUUAAGGGCAAUUUUCAAACCAAGUCUAGGUCUGCAGAGCCUUGGGGCUGACGCCAGGCCCUGGGGCCCCUGUGCUGGCAGUGUGAGUGCUGUGAACUCAUUCCCACUGACCUCCUUGAGUUGUCCAAGGACAGUGAGUGUGGGGUGACCACAAAGAGGCUCCUACACUGGACAACUGCACGCUGCUGUCGAGUUCCACAACCAAUCUUAUAGCUGGGGUCUUGGAGGUUAGCUAACCACCUACUUCUGCUGGGGUCCGGGCAGAGAGGGAGUCCAUGGAAACUCGAUUUCCCCAUGCGCCCUGCAGGCUCCCAGUGUUUCUAGCGGCUGGAGAUCCAUGACCGGGUUAAUUCCUUAGAGAAAAGGCCAGGCUUGAGAGCCAGAAAUGCUGGUCCUGCAGUGCUGGAGGAAGCAUCUUAUUAGACAGCGAGUAGGAGGGCCCCAAGCCCCAGGGGUUCCCCAGAAGCCCAUUGAGUAGCAGAACUACCAUGUCGGCCGGCCCUGCACUCCCUGAAUCUACAAAUGCAUUCUAGGGCUAGAGGGCCCCUUCGCUUGGCCAGGUCUUGUGCCCCAUGCCAACUGGCAGGAUCAUAGCUGCCCCAGCUGCCCCCACCUCCAGCCCCUCAGGCCCCAGAGAGCCCUGCUUUGGGCUGUGUGUGCAGGACGGGAGGUGGGCAUGGCACCUUGCAAGAUGGACUGACCUCCCCAGCUUCUCACCCCUUUCCCUCCUGCUCCUCUGUGGGGUUUGAACUUGCCCAUGGGUUUUCAGAUACUUGGCCUCAGGCUCUAUUGAAUUCCAAGUCAAGGUUUUACUCACUCCACACCCCCACCUUGUUCCUCCAGGUAGCAAGGAAGCACAUAGCCUCUGGUUUACCAACGGGCUUUCCUGGGAGAUUGGAAAUGCCCCAGGUGGGAUCCAGACGGCCAGCACUCACCCCACCCCCAAUAUCUGGGCCACUGAGUCAGGCCAGGAUGAGGCUCUCACUCUCUGGGCAUGUUCUCCUGCCCCACACUUGGUGGAAAUGUCUCCCAGACUUGGGCAGCAGGAGGCAGGAGACCACAGGGGCCCUUGGGGAUGGCUGACUUGGCUCCCACUAGACAGAGGGGAACACGGAGGAGGGCUGCUUGGACCCCGUACCUCGCAGGGUCUCAAUGGGGGCUGAACGCUGGAAGGAGCCUGCAUUUGGUCUAGAAUGGUGGGGGUGGGUGGGAGACACAAGUCAUCGAAAAGGCCAUUUCUUCCCUAUUCAGGCCUCUGAAAUGACCCGAAGUGGGUGCUUCCUCCAGCAUUGUGCCUCAGCUGCACACUGGGGUCAUAGGAAUCCCCCCCAGACCCUGGGGUCAAUAUUUCUGGGUCCCUUUGAACCUUCUUCUCACCCGAGGCCUGGGAAGCCUUCCUGCGCCCUGGAAUACUUGGAGAGGACACGACACAGGUCCCAGUUCUGGCCCAGUGGUGGCAAGGUUCCGUCCCCUGCACUCAAAUGUAUCCCAAAGCCGAUACCCAAUUCCAGGUCCCAGAGUGGGUAGCCGGGAGGAGUGGACUUCCCAGGAAUGUGAGCCACGUCACUGAUUUCGAACAAACCCCAGAUGUGUGGAAACUGACUUAUUUUGAUUGCAAGAGGAUCCUUGUCCCUUGCAGAUGGGCAGCUUCCGGGGACCGGCUUGCCAUCAGCAGGCACGAUGCUGUGGCCACUCCAGUGGAACCCCUCUGCCCGGCUUUGUGUCCUGGCAUCCCCACCAGGGUGCCCCGCUCUCCUGCGCAGAUGUCGGGAGUAUCUGGAUGCCCCGUGGGCACUUCAACGGCCCAAUUCGGAGUUUUUUGUUUUGUUUUGUUUUAAGAGAUUGAGACUGUGAACCUGAACUCCCUUGAUCUCCCGUUGGGCCCAGGAGGGAGCCUAAUCCAGGCCCAACCGGGCUCACUGAGAAGGUGCAGGAAGCCCCCAACGACUCCUACUCGUGUGCGGCCCUUACUGGGCCGGGACGCUGCAGUGGUCGAGUCGCUGGGUGUCUGCAACCGGGAGCUCCCCCGCCGCUGGGGGCAAUAAACGGAAUCGGUUUCCCA